rnacentral:rRNA from 1 species
GAUGAACGCUGGCGGCGUGCUUAACACAUGCAAGUCGAACGGAAAGGCCCAAGCUUGCUUGGGUACUCGAGUGGCGAACGGGUGAGUAACACGUGGGUGAUCUGCCCUGCACUUCGGGAUAAGCCUGGGAAACUGGGGCUAAUACCGGAUAGGACCACUUCUUGGAUGUUGUGGUGGAAAGUUUUUUCGUUGUGGGAUGAGCUCGCGGCCUAUCCGCUUGUUGGUGGGGUAAUGGCCUACCAAGGCGUCGACGGGUAGCCGGCCUGAGAGGGUGUACGGCCACAUUGGGACUGAGAGACGGCCCAGACUCCUACGGGAGGCAGCAGUGGGGAAUAUUGAACAAUGGGCGCAAGCCUGAUGCAGCGACGCCGCGUGGGGGAUGACGGCCUUCGGGUUGUAAACUCCUUUCGCUAGGGACGAAGCGUUUUGUGACGGUACCUGGAGAAGAAGCACCGGCUAACUACGUG